rnacentral:misc_RNA from 1 species
GAUGAAGAACGUAGCAAAAUGCGAUACUUGGUGUGAAUUGCAGAAUCCCGUGAACCAUCGAGUUUUUGAACGCAAGUUGCGCCCGAAGCCUUUUGGCCGAGGGCACGUCUGCCUGGGCGUCACGCAUCGCGUCGCCCACUCCCACAAUUCUCCGCAAUGGGAACUUGUGUUUUGGGGGCGGAUAUUGGUCUCCCGUGCUCAUGGCGUGGUUGGCCGAAAUAGGAGUCCCUUCGAUGGACGCACGAACUAGUGGUGGUCGUAAAAACCCUCGUCUUUUGUUUCGUGCCGUUAGUCGCGAGGGAAACUCUUAGAAAACCCCAGCGUGUCGUCUUGUGACGGCGCUUCGACCGCGACCCCAGGUCAGGCGGGACUACCCGCUGAGUUUAAGCAUAUCAAUAAGCGGAGGA